UAGCCUCUAGCUAAACAAGUAUUAAAGGUAAUGCCUGCCCAGUGAAAUCACUAUUUCAACGGCCGCGGUACCCUAACCGUGCAAAGGUAGCGUAAUCAUUUGUCCACUAAUUAUGGACCAGUAUGAAAGGCCACAUGAGAGCCUAACUGUCUCUUGUAACCGAUUUAUAAAACUGAUCCUCCAGUCCAAAAGCUGGAAUAUUAAUAUAAGACGAGAAGACCCUGUGAAGCUUAAAAAAUUCCUCUAGGAAGACACCAUCUUCCAUAGUGAUUAUUUUUAGUUGGGGCAACUUUGGAGUCAAUACAACCUCCAAAAAAGUAAAACUUCACCAAGACUUACAAGUCAAUAACGACCCAGUAAAACUGAAAAAUGAACAAAGUUACUCCAGGGAUAACAGCGCAAUCUUCUUCAAGAGCUCAUAUCAAAAAGAAGGUUUACGACCUCGAUGUUGGAUCAGGACACCCAAAUGGCGCAGCCGCUAUUAAAGGUUCGUUUGUUCAACGAUUA
rnacentral:rRNA from 1 species